rnacentral:SRP_RNA from 1 species
GGUCGGGUCCGUUGGACGGUCGUCCCGGGAACCAGGUCAGGGCCUGACGGCAGCAGCCUUCAACGGCGGCAACCGAGCCCUCGGCAACCUGGCCGUC